UACGUAGGGGGCUAGCGUUGUCCGGAAUCAUUGGGCGUAAAGAGCGUGUAGGCGGCCCGGUAAGUCCGCUGUGAAAGUCCAGGGCUCAACCCUGGGAUGCCGGUGGAUACUGUCGGGCUCGAGUCCGGAAGAGGAGUGUGGAAUUCCUGGUGUAGCGGUGAAAUGCGCAGAUAUCAGGAGGAACACCAAUGGCGAAGGCAGCACUCUGGGACGUGACUGACGCUGAGACGCGAAAGCGUGGGGAGCAAACAGG
rnacentral:rRNA from 1 species